UGUUCACAACUCCCUUUAGCAUUUCA
rnacentral:piRNA from 1 species